CAUUAGGUGACUGAAAAUAAGUACUGGUCUCUUAAACCAUUUUAUAAUAGCUUAAUGACUAUUUCUAAUGA
rnacentral:tRNA from 1 species